ensembl:lncRNA
UGGCACUUCCCCUUCCUCUGCCCUGUAUCUUCUCGGUUGAUCAUGGCCUGAAUUUCCAUUUCCUCAUGUAUGUGAGACGACCUAUGAAGCCUCCCCACCUGACUCACCCUGGAUCCUGGUAGAUGCAGCAGAGUAAGAAAAUAAAUGAGCCAGAAUCCAAAGGGUACUGGCUGAUUUGGCAGGAGGCCUCUUUAUUGAACUUAAACAUGGGGCGUGAACAUCCUAGUCCUAAAUCACUGCAGCCACUUUAGUCUCUGUGGUUCCUAUGGGAACCAGAAACAUCAGCCAGCUUCUCUGCACUAGGAACAUGAUUCAUUAGUCAUGCCUCAUCAGCAGCGCCCAGGUUCAGUCAGUGCCUGUGCUAGACUGGACUUGCUUUCCAGAUACCUCAAGGGCCUGAGUGACUCCAGGACAGAGCGUAGAAAGGGUGUUUGGGUCAUGGAUAGACCAGAAGUCAUGCAGUCACUGCCUCAAUCUCUAGGAAUUACUGGUGGCAAAGAAACAAGUUAAAUGCCAUCAAGCAGAUGGGAUGAAGGAAAAACCAGGCAGCCAAGAAUUUACCACUGUGAAAAGUUUUCAUUUUGACUGACUACUUGUGAGAAAUAAAGGAUUGGAUCUGGACUGUAAUAGACUCGCA